CCUGCCCCUAGAAGCAUUGCAAGUGUGGCAGCUGCUGUGUCACAUGUGCGUCAGUAGGUGGCAGAGAGGAGAAACAUUAUACCUAUGCUCAGUGUUCAGACCUGUGAACAUCUGAAUGAUUGGUAGCCUAACGUU